AACGAACGCUGGCGGCAGGCCUAACACAUGCAAGUCGAACGCUGUAGCAAUACAGAGUGGCAGACGGGUGAGUAACACGUGGGAAUCUUCCUAUCGGUACGGAAUAGCUCAGGGAAACUUGGGGUAAUACCGCAUACGCCCUUCGGGGGAAAGAUUUAUCGCCGAUAGAUGAGCCCGCGUCUGAUUAGCUAGUUGGUGAGGUAAUGGCUCACCAAGGCGACGAUCAGUAGCUGGUCUGAGAGGAUGACCAGCCACACUGGGACUGAGACACGGCCCAGACUCCUACGGGAGGCAGCAGUGGGGAAUAUUGGACAAUGGGCGCAAGCCUGAUCCAGCCAUGCCGCGUGAGUGACGAAGGUCUUCGGAUUGUAAAGCUCUUUUGCCAGGGACGAUAAUGACGGUACCUGGAGAAUAAGCCCCGGCUAACUUCGUGCCAGCCGCCGCGGUAAUAC
rnacentral:rRNA from 1 species